rnacentral:lncRNA from 1 species
AAGUAAGAUGAUGCCUGACUGAGCCAUGGAGAUGGAAGUCGGGCCCUCAGCAAGAAGAACCAAUGGGACAUGAUGGUCCUUAGGAUUUGAGAGUGGAACGGAAGUCUCAAGGAUGCUCCAGAUCCUACAAACAUUGUGUCUCAUUCAUUCUGGAAUGGAAUGUGAAGCCUCAGUUGCUGAGAACUUUCACCACUGCGGUGGAAGGAUUGAGAAGAUCAGUCAGAAAACUUGCCUCCAGAUCUUCCCUGUUGGGUUCAUUUCUGCACAUCAUUCUCAAGUGGUGAAAUUGGCAUCCAUCCAUUCAGUACAGGCUACCUGUGCUCCUUCGCCAAGCACCACAGAAGUUCCUUAUGUAUGGAAUGUGGUCUUGACAGCCCUUCCAAGAAGGUAUCGCCACCCUCAUUCAGGCAUUACAGGGGACUUUGCUAUAAGCUGA